AGUGAACGCUGGCGGUAGGCCUAACACAUGCAAGUCGAACGGCAGCACAGAGGAGCUUGCUCCUUGGGUGGCGAGUGGCGGACGGGUGAGGAAUACAUCGGAAUCUACUCUGUCGUGGGGGAUAACGUAGGGAAACUUACGCUAAUACCGCAUACGACCUACGGGUGAAAGCAGGGGAUCUUCGGACCUUGCGCGAUUGAAUGAGCCGAUGUCGGAUUAGUUAGUUGGCGGGGUAAAGGCCCACCAAGGCGACGAUCCGUAGCUGGUCUGAGAGGAUGAUCAGCCACACUGAAACUGAGACACGGUCCAGACUCCUACAGGAGGCAGCAGUGGGGAAGAUUGGACAAUGGGCGCAAGCCUGAUCCAGCCAUACCGCGUGGGUGAAGAAGGCCUUCGGGUUGUAAAGCCCUUUUGUUGGGAAAGAAAUCCAUCUGGUUAAUACCCGGGUGGGAUGACGGUACCCAAAGAAUAAGCACCGGCUAACUUCGUGCCAGCCGCCGCCGUAA
rnacentral:rRNA from 1 species